rnacentral:rRNA from 1 species
UACAGAGGUCUCGAGCGUUGUUCGGAUUCAUUGGGCGUAAAGGGUGCGUAGGUGGUCAGGUAAGUCGGAUGUGAAAUCCCGGGGGCUCAACCUCGGAACUGCAUUCGAUACUGCCUGACUGGAGUACUGGAGAGGAGAUUGGAAUUUACGGUGUAGCAGUGAAAUGCGUAGAUAUCGUAAGGAAGACCAGUGGCGGAAGGCGGAUCUCUGGACAGUUACUGACACUGAGGCAGCGAAGGCCAGGGGAGCAAACGGG